rnacentral:rRNA from 1 species
ACGGGUGAGUAACGCGUGGGAAUCUACCGUACCCUACGGAAUAGCUCUGGGAAACUGGAAGUAAUACCGUAUACGCCCUUCGGGGGAAAGAUUUAUCGGGGUAUGAUGAGCCCGCGUUGGAUUAGCUAGUUGGUGGGGUAAAGGCCUACCAAGGCGACGAUCCAUAGCUGGUCUGAGAGGAUGAUCAGCCACAUUGGGACUGAGACACGGCCCAAACUCCUACGGGAGGCAGCAGUGGGGAAUAUUGGACAAUGGGCGCAAGCCUGAUCCAGCCAUGCCGCGUGAGUGAUGAAGGUCUUAGGAUUGUAAAGCUCUUUCACCGGAGAAGAUAAUGACGGUAUCCGGAGAAGAGGCCCCGGCUAACUUCGUGCCAGCAGCCGCGGUAAUACGAAGGGGGCUAGCGUUGUUCGGAAUUACUGGGCGUAAAGCGCACGUAGGCGGGUAUUUAAGUCAGGGGUGAAAUCCCAGAGCUCAACUCUGGAACUGCCUUUGAUACUGGGUAUCUUGAGUAUGGAAGAGGUAAGUGGAAUUGCGAGU